rnacentral:rRNA from 1 species
UUCGCCCUUAGAGUUUGAUCCUGGCUCAGAACGAACGCUGGCGGCAGGCUUAACACAUGCAAGUCGAACGCCCCUUUCGGGGGGAGUGGCAGACGGGUGAGUAACACGUGGGAACGUACCUCUUUGUUCGGAAUAACUCAUGGAAACGUGAGCUAAUACCGGAUACGCCCUUUUGGGGAAAGAUUUAUCGCAGAGAGAUCGGCCCGCGUCUGAUUAGCUAGUUGGUGAGGUAAUGGCUCACCAAGGCGACGAUCAGUAGCUGGUCUGAGAGGAUGAUCAGCCACACUGGGACUGAGACACGGCCCAGACUCCUACGGGAGGCAGCAGUGGGGAAUAUUGGACAAUGGGGGCAACCCUGAUCCAGCCAUGCCGCGUGAGUGAUGAAGGCCUUAGGGUUGUAAAGCUCUUUUAUCCGGGAAGAUAAUGACUGUACCGGAAGAAUAAGCCCCGGCUAACUUCGUGCCAGCAGCCGCGGUAAUACGAAGGGGGCUAGCGUUGUUCGGAAUCACUGGGCGUAAAGGGCGCGUAGGCGGACGAUUAAGUCAGGGGUGAAAUCCCGGGGCUCAACCUCGGAAUUGCCCUUGAUACUGGUUGUCUUGAGAUUGGAAGAGGUAAGUGGAAUUGCGAGUGUAGAGGUGAAAUUCGUAGAUAUUCGCAAGAACACCGGUGGCGAAGGCGACUUACUGGUCCAUAUCUGACGCUGAGGCGCGAAAGCGUGGGGAGCAAACAGGAUUAGAUACCCUGGUAGUCCACGCCGUAAACGAUGGAUGCCAGCUGUUGGGGAGCAUGCUCUUCAGUGGCGCAGUCAACACAU